rnacentral:lncRNA from 1 species
AUAAUUACACUUGUUUAUUUCUGUAGUAAUGCACCGAGAUAAAUAGUCGAUGAAUUAGCCCGUAAUUGGCUACGUGCACCCAGUGCAUGCAGAAUAACUAGGCUGAUAAUUUCUUUAAAAAAAGAAAAGAAAAAAUAGUCCUCGAAUGUCGUAACAAGAAGGCAAGUGCAUUGUGAUAAUUAUCAGCUCUUCUCGUCAUCGAUCACACACCCACUCACAAGUCCGCUAUCA